CCAGCAGAAUUAUAAAUCCAGGACCUAAGCUUGGCAGAGACAUCUGGAUUGGUUGUGCACCCAGAAAAGCCUCACUCAGAUGCCAAUUAGAAAGUGCUCCUGAUUUUCUGCCUUGCUGGUAAGGAGAAGCCCUUACCACUCCAGCAGGACCUGGGUACCAAAACUCUAGCAUAGGAGCCUAAGCCUUCUUGCAAGAGGAGAAGUGACAACAAAUUUAAGUAGAGAAGAUGAAUAUCUGCAUGAGCCAAGUGACUGUGAAGAGGGCAAAGAAUUAAUAAUUGUGUAAUAAUGUUACUGAAUACUUACUGUGAGCUGCUUUCUAGAUGACUCCAUGAAUUUGUUUAAAUCUCCAACAAUCCUGCAAAGUAGGUACUGUUAGUAUCAUUCCUUUCUGAUAUAUGAGGAAAUUAAAGCACAGAGAAAAUGAGUAACUGCACCAAUGUCAACAGCUAGGAAGUGACAAGACAAGCUUCAAGUUCGUGCAGUUUGACUCAAAGGACCAUGUUCCUAACCGCUACAUUCUCCUGCCUCUUUCAAGAAAUGCUAGGUCUGCUUAGAGAAUUUGAUUAUUCACUGGAUGUGUAUGGGAAGAGGCAGAGUGAUCAAAUUCCAGGUUGCUGGCAUCAACAAUUGAGGGGACCAAAGAUCCACCAACCAAAGUAGAGCAUUUGGGAGGAAGAACUCUGCAAGGUGUGAGUCUGGGCACGUGGACUUUGCAGUACUGGGAGCGAUGACCCUCUUGGUUACGCAUGAAGAUUCAGAAGUCAGGAAAAGAAAUCUAGUUGUAAAUAUACAUUUCUGUAGUCAGAAUUGAGGUGAUACUUAAUGACAAUGGGACAGUCACUCCAAUCACCCAAGUAGCAUUUGUAGAUAGAGAAGAGAAAAGGGCUAAUCUACAGCAAUGGGAGGCCAGUGUUUAAUGAUCCUGGAAUAAAGGACAUUGAGUGCACAGUUAGAUACCAAAAGCAUCAGGGACACUUGACAUUGAGAAAAUCAAAUGAAUAUAAAUAUAGAAAAUAGAAAUAGAAAAAAUAGAAAUGGAAAAAAAUUAGCCCUUUUUCUUGACUACUCUUACUCUACACUCAGUGCUUUACUCUGAUCAUAAAUAUGUGGUUUAUUUUUCCCAGACUAUUAUCUGUUACCUAGAUAUAGCUGUGGGUCCUAAAACUUAACUCAGUUCUGAUACUGCCCAUCUGGAGAUAGUACAGACUCUACAAAUUAAGUUAUAAUUUGUGGUCUCCACAAUCCUUUUCCUGAGUUUCAAUAUUUUCUAGGAUGACUCGCAGAAAUCAGAGAAACAUAUAUGUUCACCUGUUGAUUAUAAGUGAUAUUACAAAAGACAUAGAUAAACACCCAGAUGAAGAGGUACAUAGGGCAAAGUAUGUGGAAAGGGGUGCAAAUCUUUCACGCCCUGUCCGGUCUCAUUAUCCUAUCAACACCUCUACCUGUACAGCAACCCAAAAGCUGUCUGAACCCUAUAGCUCAAAGACUUUUAUGGAGGCUUCAUGGUGUAAAAAGCACAAUUAACUCAAUCUCCAGCCUCUCUCUCCUUUCUGGAAGAUAGGCAUAGAGCUGAAUGUCCCAAAUUCCUAAUCAGGACUUGAUCCUUUGUCCCCCAUUUAGGAGCUCACUAAGAACCACCUCAUUAGAACACACGUCCCUUCUAUAAAACAGGAAAUGUCAAGAGUUUUAGAAGCUCUGUGCUUGGAACUGUGGGAAGAAACCAAAUAUACAUUUUUUAAUAUAACUCAAUAUAGCAAUAAUCCAGUGAAUUAUCCUGUGAAGGAAGAGAUUGAUCAGUAGUAUCAAAUAGUACAAGGGUCACAAGUAAAUAAAGACAGAAAAGUAGCCACUGGGCUUGACCACAGAAAGUCACUGGUGACUUGUCAAGUACUUUUCAUGGAACAGGGAAAUAGUGAAAGAAGUGAGCAGUGAGUUAUGGGGUAUGCGAGAAGGGAAGGACAUAUAUGUAUAUAUACACACAGUCUUCACUUCACCUGUAUAUGUUUUGUAUGUAUAAAUUUAGAAAGACUAGAAUUGAAAUACAUGUAUGAGUAUGAAUAUUAACAAUGGGAAACAAAACAGGAAGCUUUAAAGUAAAAUACAGCAAUGAAGAACUAUGGAUGAUAUUUUAUGUGUUUUUGUUUGAUAAGUUGAUUUCUAAGUGGAAGAGACUUGAAAACAUUUAGAUCAAAGGAAAAGAGACAGAAAAGAAGGGAAUAACAGAAGGAUCAAAAGUCCAAAAGAAAUGGGAAUGAUAAGCCUUGAACAGAAUGGUCACAUGGUUAUAGAGAUUACCAAAUACCCCAUAUGGAUUUAGACAUAAGCACAGUUUAUUCACACCUGAUCAUCUCCUUAUUCUUUGAGAAGUAGAAAACAAGAGACACAGGAAAACAUAAUUAAAUAAAUGAUUGGUUUGAAAUACCUUCUUUGGGGAUAUUGGGUGCAAAUUCUCCAAGAACUAAAGGAAAAAUUUGCCAAACAGAAUUUAAAGUCCACCUUAUAUUGGAAACUCCACGUUUCUAAUGAUGUCAGCCUUCAUGGCUAUACAAGUUUCUUCAGUUCUACUCAGACAUACAUGUUUAGGGGCAGGGAAUGGAGAUUGGAGGAUGAAUUUGGAGGUAGUUUUAUAUAAAAAAGUAGGAGCAAAAAUGUUAAGAUUGCAAAUGAAUAGUUCAUAGUAUCAACUGUGGAUUUUAUAGUUGAUGAAAAGAGAAUGAAAAGGUAGUUGGUAGAUGAAAGAAAAAUGAGACAUUCAAGAGACUAGAGACAUCAGUGAGAUUGGCAAGCAACUAUGAUAAAUAGUAAGUAAAAGAGCUAGAACAAUUGUUUUGGCAGAAAAGGAGACAAUGAAUUAGAAGUUUUCAUGCAAAGAAAAGAGGCAGAUGAAAAGAAAAGGUAGGAUGUAGUCAUAUAAGAGUGGAAGCUAUAUUCAGUUGGGUUGUGAAGGUCAAGAAACUUAGAAGCUAUUGUGUUAGGUGAACUCUCUGAGAAUGGUGAAAUAUCCCUCAGAGUGGGCUGCAGGGGAAGGAUCUAGAUGCCUAAUGAAAUUUGGUUUCCAUUCAUUUGAUGAGCUAAGGAAGCUCUGGAGUCUGUGGAAAUUUCUCACUUCUUUUCCACACCAGGGUUACACUCUUCUUCCACUGCCUCUUUAACUGAGUCCAUGGCUUCUCUAUUGCUUGGGCUGUUAUCUCUCCAAAUCUGCCUAAAGAGUGAAGCUCAGCCUUUCCAGUUCUCAUGUCCCUGCUGAUCCUGAAGACAAGUCUGUGGGCCCUUUGUUUCUGAGAGUUUCAUUGCUGACUGCUGUCAGAAACAGAAGUGGAAGUGACAGGUACCAAAUGUAGCUGCAGUUUGCAGAAUCUUACACCAUUUUCUCUAGCAUAGUCUCUGGGUAUAUUUUUUGACUCCUUUCUGGCAGGUAUGAUAGAAGCACAUGGAACUUGAUUUGUCUUUGCUUUCCUAAAUGUAAGGUUCAGCAAACCACAACCCUCAGACUGUCCUUCCUCUAUCCCUGAGGACAGGCUAAACUCUACCUGUUUUAUGAUGCAUAAAACCAGAGACAUUUUCAAAAUGUAAUAGAUCUUUGUGCUUCUACAACUGAAAUUAAACAGAAAUUAACAUGUUU
rnacentral:lncRNA from 1 species